GUAGUUCCAACAAAUCAAUAUUUCAGCACAGAACACCAGCUUCAUAGUUCAGUUCAUACCCACUUUAUUUUCAUUCUUUUUCCAUUUUAGCCAUUUGUAAUAUUCUCCAAAGAAAUGACACCAUUCCCACACGAUUAAGCAACAUAUUCAAUUCGCCUAUUCUUGAAAAACACAUUUAUGUGGGUAAAUUAACAUUCUAUUUACACUAUGGAUUGUCAAGAAAACAGAACUUCUAGACUAGUCUUGAGGAGAACUUCCCUUUUGCUUCUUGUCCAUACAACUGAAAUUGUAUAAAUAGAAACAAGUAAGUGCACAUUGCAUCCAAUCAAAACAUAUACACUUUUGUCCCACAUUUUUAUCUUUUCUUGGCCUUUGUUUUUCAACUUUCAAGAUGCAAAAGCAAGAAAACCAAGUAAACCAACCUCCUCCAGGCUAUCCCACGGAAUUUACUCCAAAUGACAACAAGAAGAAGAUGAAGGGCCGGCCAAGAGGAGAAAGGGGGUUCCUGGAAGGAUGCCUCUUUGCACUAUGCUGUUGCUGGCUAUGUGAAGCUUGUUUUGACUAAACGUUUGAAAUAUAACUCAUCUAAUGGAAUCAACUGGUGUUGGUUUAUUCAACUAGCUAGUGAUGCAAUAUGUACUCCUAUGUGACAUUUUAUCGUGUAAUCAAAGAUGUUUUUAGGGUCUUUAUAUUGAUGCA